CAGUAGCCACGGGAACACGAGGGGGGCAAGCGUUGUUCGGAAUUAUUGGGCGUAAAGGGCUCGCAGGCGGUUUCUUAAGUCUGAUGUGAAAGCCCCCGGCUCAACCGGGGAGGGUCAUUGGAAACUGGGAAACUUGAGUGCAGAAGAGGAGAGUGGAAUUCCACGAGUAGCGGUGAAAUGCGUAGAGAUGUGGAGGAACACCAGUGGCGAAGGCGACUCUCUGGUCUGUAACUGACGCUGAGGAGCGAAAGCGUGGGGAGCGAACAGGAUUAGAUACCCCGGUAGUCCCUGUCUCUUAUAC
rnacentral:rRNA from 1 species